AUGGGAUGGUGAGGGAAAUUUCUAAGAAUCUCCUUGAAUCUCUUCUAAAUCUCAUAAAUAGAUUCUCCUUCUAACUAUGUAAAAUAAAAAAUAUCAUUUCUAAGUAU